rnacentral:rRNA from 1 species
GGCGUUCCGUAGGUGAACCUGCGCAACGGAUCAUUA